AAUGUACUCCCUCCGUCCCAAAAUUCUUGUCUUAGAUUUGUCUAGAUACGGAUGUAUCAAGUCACAUUUUAGUAUUAGAUACAUCCGUAUCUAGACAAAUCUAAGACAAGAAAUUUGGAACAAAGGGAGUAGUUA
rnacentral:pre_miRNA from 1 species